ACACACCUGGCAAAGCGGUAAUGCGCUUGCCCUCUAAGCAAGACGACUCGCGUUCGAACCCGAGUAGAAUG